UAUAAAAGGAGCUGAAGACCUCAAGCAAGUCGACGAUCCGUCCCACCGACCAGUCUACUAGUCAGUCUGUUGAUCUAUCGACCGGGACACCUGCACCUGAUCCCGCUGGAAGGAGCAUCGCCGCCGACCAGACGAGACCAGAGGACGAGGCCAGCAGAGAGACGGACAGCCUAGCGCCGACUCGACGCCCUUCGUCUACGGAUCGGACCCUCUGACCCGACGGGAGGAAACGUCGCGCUCCCAUAAGGACUUGCGCAGUACAGGUACAGGGACGUGCUAAUUGGCAGACUUAAUAUCGUCUUAUUUAAUAUCGUGUGAUAAUUGCAUAGAAGUGAAUUAUAAUAAUAUAAGUGUGUGAACUGCCAUCCGAGUCUGAGUCCUCUUUACCCGCGGUACCUGCUCGCGACAGCGCGGAUUCUAGACUUGGGACAGGAGAAAUUCGACUCAGUGCUUGCAUAAAUUUUGCUUUCUUUUUAUUUGAAAUAAGAUAACUGAUAUCUUUGCUGAGAAAUUCUUCAACUCGCCCUCCUAGGUCCUUUAUGUUUUUUGUAGUUUUUCAGAUAAGUGGUAGAAGGUAAGUCAAGAUAAAAUAUUUUUCCCCAGAGUGGCUUAUAUUUGGAUUUUUCUGCUCUGUUACUAUUUUUAAGAGAUUUCAAAGAUGAUCUGUUCUUUUCAUUUUUCACUUGGAUUCCACCCUGGAAGGGCUCUUUGCCGGGAUCCGCAUGGCUCCGCGGUUCAUGGCAGCCGCCCGGCUCUAUAUGCUGGGUCUGGGCGGGAGCCGCGCCACAGGGCCACAGGAAACAGGCUUCUCGGGGCUGGUGGACCGAACGGCCGCCACGCAGUAGGGAGCAGGCUCCGUGGGCCGAGUUUCCGGGGCUGGAUCCGGCUCGGAGGCGCAGCGGAGGAAGGGGAAAGCAGCACAGCCGCCUAGACAGUGGCGGUUGAAAAUUUGAAAAUUCUUCACAUGGCCGUAGGGCCGGUAUGCGCGCCCUCCCUCCUCUAGCUGCGCGCGCAGCGUCCCGCUGCCCGCUCUCUGGUUUUUAAAAAUUUUUUUAAUUUUUUUUUUUUUUGGUUUUUUGAGAUAGGGUCUCACUAUGUAGUUCAGGCUGGCCUUGAACUCACUAUGUAGCUCAAGCUGGCCUUGAACUCUUGGCAGUCCUCCUGCCUCAGCCUCCCAAGUGCUGGUACAGGCGUGUGACACCAUGCCUGGCUGAUCUACCUGUUUUAACGAUUGUUUGGACUUACGACCCUUUUAUUUUUUGGUACAGUUCUAUUCAUCUUGUUUGUAGAGCCUCAAUGUCUUUGUAUACCUUGUUUAUAAUAGUGCUG
ensembl:lncRNA